rnacentral:rRNA from 1 species
GACGAACGCUGGCUGCGUGCUUAACACAUGCAAGUCGAACGGAAAGGCCCUGCUUUUGUUGGGUGCUCGAGUGGCGAACGGGUGAGUAACACGUGAGUAACCUGCCCUUGACUUUGGGAUAACUUCAGGAAACUGGGGCUAAUACCGGAUAGGAGCUCCUGCUGCAUGGUGGGGGUUGGAAAGUGUCGGCGGUUGGGGAUGGACUCGCGGCGGAUCAGCUUGUUGGUGUGGUAGUGGCGUACCAAGGCUUUGACGGGUAGCCGGCCUGAGAGGGUGACCGGCCACAUUGGGAAUGAGCUACGGCCCAGCCUCAUACGGGAGGCAGCAGUGGGGAAUAUUGCCCAAAGGGCGGAAGCCUGAUGCCGCAACGCCGCGUGCGGGAUGACGGCCUUCGUGUUGUAAACCGCUUUCGCCUGUGACGAAGCGUGAGUGACGGUAAUGGGUAAAGAAGCACCGGCUAAAUACGUG